rfam:Cryptococcus dejecticola CBS 10117 unplaced genomic scaffold supercont1.2, whole genome shotgun sequence.
GCUUCUGUAGUUUAGUGGUUAUAAUUUUGCACUUGUACGCUUCGGACAAGGCUUGAACUGCGGUUUCUGGCAAAUGCAAGGGUCAUGAGUUCAAAUCUCAUCGGAAGCA